rnacentral:rRNA from 1 species
CUCAUUCGGAUCGGAGUCUGCAACCCGACUCCGUGAAGCUGGAUUCGCUAGUAAUCGCGCAUCAGCCAUGGCGCGGUGAAUACGUUCCCGGGCCUUGUACACACCGCCCGUCAAGCCAUGGGAGCCGGGGGUGCUUGAAGUGCGUCGCCGCAAGGCGCGCCCUAGAGCAAAACCGGUGACUGGGGCUAAGUCGUAACAAGGUAUC